CCUGAUCAGCCAUGCCGCGUGUGUGAUGAAGGUCUUCGGAUUGUAAAGCACUUUUAGUUGGGAAGAAGGGCAGUUGAUUAAUACUUUGCUGUUUUGACGUUACCGACAGAAUAAGCCCCGGCUAACUCUGUGCCAGCAGCCGCGGUAAUA
rnacentral:rRNA from 1 species